AAUCAGGUCAAGAAGCAGUAAUAAAGUUGGGGAAGGGCCUGGAGAGCAAACAUGUGCUUUGGCUGAACCUGAGAGAAGUCUCAAGGCCUUGGGAGCAGGAUCCAGCUGUUUUUUUUUACUAGCAGGCCACCCAGAAAGGACUGCAGGCGUUCCUGCUUCCAGCCUAGCAACUCAUGAUGGAAGAAGAACUUAUCUCACAGAAGGCCCUGAAACAAAAGAAUCUGCAGAAUGACUUCAGAAGAGCCAAGACCAUGACACUCAACGUGGGAGUGCAAAGCCUGUA